CCUACGGGAGGCAGCAGUGGGGGAUAUUGCACAAUGGGGGGAACCCUGAUGCAGCGACGCCGCGUGGGUGAAGAAGCGCCUCGGCGCGUAAAGCCCUGUCAGCAGGGGAGAAAAUGACGGUACGUGAAGAAGAAGCCCGGGCUAACUACGAGCCAGAAGCCGCUGUAAUACGUAGGGGGCAAGCGUUAUCCGGAUUUACGGGGUGUAAAGGGGGCGCAGGCGGCGAGGAAAGCCAGGCGGGAACGCCCGGGGCUCAACCCCGGGACUGCUCUGUGAACUGGGUGGCUGGAGUGCAGGAGGGGCAGGCGGAAUUCCUGGUGUAGCGGUGAAAUGCGUAGAUAUCAGGAGGAACACCGGUGGCGAAGGCGGCCUGCUGGACUGCAACUGACGUUGAGGCCCGAAGGCGUGGGGAGCAAACAGGAUUAGAUACCCGAGUAGUC
rnacentral:rRNA from 1 species